AUUGAACGCUGGCGGCAGGCCUAACACAUGCAAGUCGAACGAGUGGCGGACGGGUGAGUAAUGUAUGGGGAUCUGCCCGAUAGAGGGGGAUAACUACUGGAAACGGUGGCUAAUACCGCAUACUAUCGGAUGAACCCAUAUGGGAUUAGCUAGUAGGUGGGGUAAAGGCUCACCUAGGCGACGAUCUCUAGCUGGUCUGAGAGGAUGAUCAGCCACAAUGGGACUGAGACACUGCCCAGACUCCUACGGGAGGCAGGAGUGGGGAAUAUUGCACAAUGGGGGAAACCCUGAUGCAGCAACGCCGCGGGCGGGAUGACGGCCUUCGGGUUGUAAACCGCUUUCAGCCAUGACGCGGUAGUGGCAGAAGAAGCACCGGCUAACUACGUGCCAGCAGCCGCGGUAAUUC
rnacentral:rRNA from 1 species